UAGAAAUCUAUUGAGUGUCCUACAUGUC
rnacentral:piRNA from 1 species